UUGGAUCAUAAUUCUGCUUUUGACUGUAGUUCCAUGAGUUUGGAUAACCCUGACAGUCUGGAUGAUAGUAAGUUGGUUCAACGUCUGCUUGUUUCUGACAGUAGGCAUUCUAAGUGGACUGACACUCAAGAUUGUCAGAGAACCUUAAGAGAUUUGUAAUUUGAUCUUGCAAUUGCUCAAGUCUUUCUUCUGAUCUUGGUUGUGACGUCCUCUCAAAAGGCCAUUGAUA
rnacentral:lncRNA from 1 species